rnacentral:rRNA from 1 species
UACGUAGGGUGCAAGCGUUACUCGGAAUUACUGGGCGUAAAGCGUGCGCAGGCGGUUUUGUAAGUCAGAUGUGAAAUGCCCGGGCUUAACCUGGGAACUGCAUUUGUGACUGCAAGGCUAGAGUGUGUCAGAGGGGGGUAGAAUUCCACGUGUAGCAGUGAAAUGCGUAGAUAUGUGGAGGAAUACCGAUGGCGAAGGCAGCCCCCUGGGAUAACACUGACGCUCAUGCACGAAAGCGUGGGGAGCAAACAGG